UACGAAGGGGGCUAGCGUUGUUCGGAAUUACUGGGCGUAAAAGCGCACGUAGGCGGAUAUUUAAGUCAGGGGUGAAAUCCCAGAGCUCAACUCUGGAACUGCCUUUGAUACUGGGUAUCUCGAGUAUGGAAGAGGUGAGUGGAAUUCCGAGUGUAGAGGUGAAAUUCGUAGAUAUUCGGAGGAACACCAGGUGGCGAAGGCGGCUCACUG
rnacentral:rRNA from 1 species